rnacentral:tRNA from 1 species
ACCUUCGUGGUGUAGAGGUCAGCACACUUGACACUUAUUCAAGAGGUCUGUGGUUCAAGUCCCGGUGGGGACA